AAGUUUGAUCAUGGCUCAGAACGAACGCUGGCGGCAUGCCUAACACAUGCAAGUCGAACGGGAUCCUGGCUUCGGUCAGGUGAGAGUGGCGGACGGGUGAGUAACGCGUGGGAACCUGCCCAGUGGUGGGGGAUAACUGCGGGAAACUGCAGCUAAUACCGCAUGAGCCCGAGAGGGGGAAAGAUUUAUCGCCAUUGGAGGGGCCCGCGUUCGAUUAGGUAGUUGGUGAGGUAACGGCUCACCAAGCCGACGAUCGAUAGCUGGUCUGAGAGGAUGAUCAGCCACACUGGGACUGAGAUACGGCCCAGACUCCUACGGGAGGCAGCAGUGGGGAAUAUUGGACAAUGGGGGCAACCCUGAUCCAGCAAUGCCGCGUGAGUGAUGAAGGCCUUCGGGUUGUAAAGCUCUUUUGCCGGGGACGAUGAUGACGGUACCCGGAGAAUAAGCCCCGGCUAACUUCGUG
rnacentral:rRNA from 1 species